rnacentral:lncRNA from 1 species
GGCAAAGCCUUGUAUGUUCACGGACAUCCUGCUAGCAGAGCUGAAGAUAACAAAGCCAUUGAUUUUUCUCAGUGGCUUGAAUCUCUUAGGAAAAUGUAGCUGACACAGGCAAAUACCGAAUAAAUGCUGUUGACAUAACA